UUUACAUUAAAACAAAAUAAUCAACAAAGAAAAAGGAAAGAAGAAAACUACCGAGAGUAUCGUAGCUUUCAUGUAACGUGAAAAUGCCUUCUUCCCAUAAGCACUUAUGAGAAGUGCUUUUUCAUUCUAAAAAAACACUUAUUUUCAAAAUCCAUUCUCUCUACUCUCCUUCAUCAUGAAACAAUGCUAACAAAUAAUCAACCAAUUGAUUCACUCUUAAAGAAGGAGAAGGAAUUACCGGCGAAAAAUAUAAUGACGAGGUGACGGGAUUCCGGCAACACAUUUGGUUUGUGGAUGCGGGGAAAUCGAGAUUGAGAGGUGCAGCGGAGCUUUGAGGUAACUGUGGAGGUGCGCGGUGGAGUUCCAAGGUUGUUCUCGCGUUUCCGUCAACAAAUCCAGUGAGGCAAGUAUUCACGCGUUUUUGAAUUCCUUUCUUCUCUCCUGUUCAAUUCUUGGUUGCUUAAUCGUAGUUGUGUUAUCAUUGAUGAUUGUUGCUCAGUUCUUGCUAUCGAAAGCUUUCAAAGUGAAGAGUUUUUCAUCUUACACACAAGGUGUUUGAUGAAAAGUCUCACCCAAGCUCUUAGUCUUAGCAUGUAUUAGUAUAAAAUAAAUUGCUUGGUUUACUUAAUGUUCACGGUGAUCUAGAAUUGACUCAAGGACUCUACUACUAAUAAUCAUCUCUAAUUAAUCGCUUAUUGCAUAAUCGAUUUGUUAUAUAGUGUUUGGGGUGUUUUAAGUGUAACUGUUGUUGAUGUGUGUUUAUAGGACAGAAGAUCAAACUCAGGAUUCUGGUGCUAUAUUGAAAAAGACUUUUGUGUCCCCAACAAGACGAGUGUUAAUGGCGAGUUUGUCUUUGUAUUCUUGUUUAUGUUCUUCAAGAGAUGGAGAGCUUGAGAACACCUUUCAAGGGUAUUGUAGACGAUAUCAAAGUCGGUAUCGAUGAAUUUUUCGCAACGAACCAAUCAAACCCAGAAUUUCCAAUCGUUGGAGGUUGCAAGUAUGUUAAAGCUAUACCUCAUGGAAAUGGUGGGCUUCUUGAUUCUGACACUCUAUUUGGACUAGCUCGUGAUUUACCUCGUAGCCCUAGAAGGUUGGUGCUUUCUAGUACAGAAGUUACUUUAGUUUCUUGCCUUAAAAGUCUGAUCAACAUUAGGACAUUAUUGAUACCAUUAUACUUUUGUGGGGAAUGAAACCUAACAUUACUAUCAAAUAAAUAAUGGUACUAUAUGUUAUCCAUAAACUGUGACAAGAUGAAUUAUAUAGUAUCACCAUGUGAACAAUAUGGGAAAUUAUUGUAACUCGCGCAAUAUAAUUUGAACAUGUGAGUCAGGUACACGGCAGCAAACUUCAUGAAGUUUGGAGCUCCUAGAGAUACCAAACAUCCUGAACGCAGACAACCACUAGCUACGUAAAUCUGGGAGUCGAUAUUGCUUACAUUAGAACCAGGGUCUAAGAUUACAGUAUUCAGGUAAAUUAUUGAAUAGAAAUUUUAUGUCAUUUGAUGUACGAAUUUGACAAUCAUGGUGUUUCACUGUGAUUUUGAUAAAAAGUUACACUUGAGAGUUACAACAAAGAGUCUAUCUGUUCUCAAGAAACAGGUGAGUAAAUGAGUAUUGGAAUUUGUAGAGUAAGUAUCAAGAUUGAAUUUUAUGCUAAUUAUGUUGAUUUGUUGAUAUUUGAAUGGUAGAUGAUCCGAAGAAAGAUGGUUAAAAGUGCAAAGGAAAGCAUAAGGCAGGAAGCUAGCAACUCUGAAAUAUAUGGGAAAAUGCAAGCAGUGUUUAUAGAAAUGGAUAAUAAUCCUAAUUGACAUGGAUUCCAAUUGCUGGAAUGUUGUUCCCUCUGCCAUUUUUUUUGUUGAUUAUAUUGAGACAACACAUACUCCCCAAGUUCUUCAGUCCAAACCAUCUUAUGGAACUAGAUGCAGCUGAAUAUGAAGAAAUAUCUGGUGCUCCAAAACUAAGUCUCAGUUUAUCCUUAAAGGUAUACUAAGCUUUAUGAUGUUUGUUUUGGAUUUAAAUUCUGUCGUCGCAAUUCCAUGCAUUCACGCAACGAUCACAUCGGUGGCCAUUGAAUCAAUAUUCGGCAGUGUAAAUUUUAAAAUCCAUUUGCUUUCUACUCUGUCAGAUCUCAAUUUAACGGAUACCAGUACGAUGACUACACGAAUGCGUUCCACACAGUCAACUACUAUUAUGUACCCGAGUAUUAUUUUUACACUGAAUCUGUCCACAAGGCUGUUAAAUGACAACUGCCACUGUGUCAUAUGAUCUCUUUUGAUUUUUCCACCUUGAACUUCUGCAAGCUGAAGCAGUGAGAAACUUUUUAUACUCUCUCAACAAUGGACUGCAACUGCAUCAUAUGAUCUCUUUUGAUUUCUCCACCUUGACUUCUACAAGUUGCAGCAAGUGAGGUUGCAAGGGAACUGAGGUCGUAGCACUGGCGUAGGUACUUAAACUACCUUGCCAAUCUAAGGCCCAUCUGUUUUUCCAUUUAUCACAACUGAAAUGUGCCAUUGGAGAACUCCCCCUAGAGCUACAAUAUAUUUUUGGUAAAUUUGUAUUUUUUUCAUUUAAAAAGUUGGAUAACUUUACUCUAGUGAGUUGUUUUAAGCAUAAUUAUAUAAGUGAAAUUUAUUUCCCAUUUCACUUAAAUUGAUUAAUUUAAUUUAUUUCCCAAAGAGAAGAUAAACUCUUAUGAUGAAGCUAGUGGCAGACUUUGUUUCACAUUAAAUUAUUGCAUAGGAAAA